CUACGGGCGGCUGCAGUGGGGAAUAUUGCACAAUGGAGGAAACUCUGAUGCAGCGACGCCGCGUGAGGGAAGAAGGUUUUCGGAUUGUAAACCUCUGUCUUCGGGGACGAUAAUGACGGUACCCGAGGAGGAAGCCACGGCUAACUACGUGCCAGCAGCCGCGGUAAAACGUAGGUGGCAAGCGUUGUCCGGAAUUACUGGGUGUAAAGGGAGCGCAGGUGGGACAGCAAGUUCAAUGUGAAAUCUAUGGGCUCAACCCAUAAAUUGCGUUGGAUACUGCAGUUCUUGAGUGGAGUAGAGGCAGGCGGAAUUCCAGGUGUAGCGGUGGAAUGCGUAGAUAUCUGGAGGAACACCAGUGGCGAAGGCGGCCUGCUGGGCUCUAACUGACACUGAGGCUCGAAAGCGUGGGUAGCAAACAGGAUUAGAUACCCGAGUAGUC
rnacentral:rRNA from 1 species